AGAGUUUGAUCAUGGCUCAGAUUGAACGCUGGCGGCAUGCCUUACACAUGCAAGUCGAACGGUAGCAGGCCGCAAGGUGCUGACGAGUGGCGAACGGGUGAGUAAUACAUCGGAACGUGCCCGAUCGUGGGGGAUAACGCAGCGAAAGCUGUGCUAAUACCGCAUACGAUCUACGGAUGAAAGCGGGGGAUCGCAAGACCUCGCGCGGACGGAGCGGCCGAUGGCAGAUUAGGUAGUUGGUGGGGUAAAGGCCUACCAAGCCGACGAUCUGUAGCUGGUCUGAGAGGACGACCAGCCACACUGGGACUGAGACACGGCCCAGACUCCUACGGGAGGCAGCAGUGGGGAAUUUUGGACAAUGGGCGCAAGCCUAAUCCAGCCAUGGCCGCGUGCAGGAUGAAGGCCUUCGGGUUGUAAACUGCUUUUGUACGGAACGAAAAGGUUUCUUUUAAUACAGGGAACUGAUGACGGUACCGUAAGAAUAAGCACCGGCUAACUACGUGCCAGCAGCCGCGGUAAUACGUAGGGUGCGAGCGUUAAUCGGAAUUACUGGGCGUAAAGCGUGCGCAGGCGGUGAUGUAAGACAGAGGUGAAAUCCCCGGGCUCAACCUGGGAACUGCCUUUGUGACUGCAUCGCUGGAGUGCGGCAGAGGGGGAUGGAAUUCCGCGUGUAGCAGUGAAAUGCGUAGAUAUGCGGAGGAACACCGAUGGCGAAGGCAAUCCCCUGGGCCUGCACUGACGCUCAUGCACGAAAGC
rnacentral:rRNA from 1 species